GUGAUCGAUGCAGUCUUUUAUUUUAUUUCAGAUUUUAUAUGCAAAUUUUUUAUGUCAUAGAUCCUUAAUGAUAGUUUAGAUCUGAUCUAAAGUAUGUUUAGAAGAUUAAAAUAUUUAAUUUUUUAUUAUUCUGUUGUAAAAUUUUAAAAAUAUAUGAUUUGAACUAUCCAUUUUUCCUUCAUGCAAAUCGUCCACAUGAAGAACGGAUACUGAUUAGGCUCCUCGGGAGUGCUUGCUCGCAA
rnacentral:lncRNA from 1 species